rnacentral:rRNA from 1 species
UACGUAGGGUGCAGGCGUUAAUCGGAAUUACUGGGCGUAAAGCGCGUGUAGGCGGCUAAGUAAGUCGGGCGUGAAAUCCCACGGCUCAACCGUGGAAGUGCACUCGAAACUGCAUAGCUAGAGUCCUGGAGAGGAAGGUGGAAUGCUUGGUGUAGAGGUGAAAUUCGUAGAUAUCAAGCGGAACACCGGUGGCGAAGGCGGCCUUCUGGACAGUGACUGACGCUGAGACGCGAAAGCGUGGGGAGCAAACAGG